GUUAGAACGCUCGUAGUCGGAUUUCGGGGCGGGCCGACCGGUCUGCCGAUGGGUACGCACUGGUCGGCGCGUCCUUCCUUCCGGAGACCGUGCCUACUCUUAACUGAGCGGGGGCGGGAGACGGAUCGUUUACUUUGAAAAAAUCAGAGUGUUUCAAGCAGGCAGGUCGCUCUUGCAUGGAUUAGCAUGGGAUAAUGAAAUAGGACUUUGGUGCUAUUUUGUUGGUUUCGAACACCGAAGUAAUGAUUAACAGGGACAGUCAGGGGCACUCGUAUUCCGCCGAGAGAGGUGAAAUUCUCAGACCAGCGGAAGACGAACUACUGCGAAAGCAUUUGCCAGGGAUGUUUUCACUGAUCAAGAACGAAAGUUAGGGGAUCGAAGAGGAUCAGAUACCCUCGUAGUCUUAACCAUAAACCAUGCCGACUAGGGAUUGGGGGAUGUUCACAUAUCGACUCCCUCAGCACCUUACGGGAAACUAAAGUCUUUGGGUUCCGGGGGGAGUAUGGUCGCAAGGCUGAAACUUAAAGGAAUUGACGGAAGGGCACCACCAGGUGUGGAGCCUGCGGCUUAAUUUGACUCAACACGGGGAAACUUACCAGGUCCAGACAUUGUGAGGAUUGACAGAUUGAGAGCUCUUUCUUGAUUCGAUGGGUGGUGGUGCAUGGCCGUUCUUAGUUGGUGGAGUGAUUUGUCUGGUUAA
rnacentral:rRNA from 1 species